UGGUCAAGUUAUUAAGGGUGCAGGGCGGAUGCCUUGGCACUAGGAGCCGAUGAAGGACGUGAUAAGCUGCGAUAAGCUUCGGGGAGUUGCACGUAAACUUUGAUCCGAAGAUUUCCGAAUGAGGAAACUCACUUAGAGUAAUGUCUAAGUAUCAUUAAGUGAAUACAUAGCUUAAUGAGGGGAACUCAGGGAACUGAAACAUCUAAGUACCUGAAGGAAGAGAAAGAAAUUCGAUUCCGUAAGUAGCGGCGAGCGAACGCGGAUUAGCCCAAACCAAUAAAGUUUUCUUUAUUGGGGUUGCGGACAUAUCAUAACGAAGAGGUAUCGUAAUUGAAGAGGUUUGGAAAGACUCACCACAGAAGGUAAUAGUCCUGUAUGUUAAACGAGAAGACUUCAGAUAUGAUCCAGAGUACCACGGGACACGUGAAACCCUGUGGGAAGCAGGAGGGACC
rnacentral:rRNA from 1 species